GUAGGGGGGGCAAGCGUUGUCCGGAAUCAUUGGGCGUAAAGCGCGUGUAGGCGGCCUUGUAAGUCCGUUCUGAAAGCCCGGGGGCUCAACCCCGGGAGGCGGAUGGAUACUGCAAGGCUCGAGUCCGGAAGAGGCGAGUGGAAUUCCCGGUGUAGCGGUGAAAUGCGCAGAUAUCGGGAGGAACACCAAUGGCGAAGGCAGCUCGCUGGGACGGUACUGACGCUGAGACGCGAAAGCGUGGGGAGCAAACAGGAUUAGAUACCCUGGUAGUCCACGCCGUAAACGAUGGACACUAGGUGUGGGAGGUGUCGACCCCUUCCGUGCCGAAGCUAACGCAUUAAGUGUCCCGCCUGGGGAGUACGGCCGCAAGGCUA
rnacentral:rRNA from 1 species